UGAGAAAGGACAGUAAACAAAACCUGCAUGAUGUCAGGGUAAGCAACACUUGUGUAUGGAACAUGCAGUUUGUGCAGACUGACUUAGACAAUGUUUACCUUUUUUGUUCAUUUUUGAGUACACUUUUUGACUGGAAUAUCUACUUAAGGUAAUAAGAUGCUGUCAACUCCAUGAAGAUUACAGAAAUUCUGGGCCAAUCAGCAAAGAAGAAAUUGUUUUGAACUGAGAAAUUCUGAUUAAAGAGACUGUACUCUUAACUGACAACACUGCAUUGCUUGUGAAAUAUGAUCAUGAUACAAGAAAGUAAAACAAGAAACAAAAUAUCAUGUAAGUUAUAAACAAAAUUUUUUUAAAAAUCUUGUAUAUGAGUGAAAAAAAAGAUAAAUAAAUGGCUUAUUGUCAAUUUCC
rnacentral:lncRNA from 1 species